rnacentral:lncRNA from 1 species
UCAGGAAGUGGGUCCUCAUCGCCCUCUAGAAAAUCAAGAGCAUCCACAGCAGGCUCAGGAGGUAGCUCCUCGGGAUCCUCCUCAGGGUCUUCCUCGGAUGACGUCACCUCGAUCACUUGGACUGGCUCCACUAGACAGUAUGGUGUAGGCGUGGGUAGUAUCCACUCCAUAGUGCGCUGAAGCGUGCGCACGGGUUCAUCUGGAUGCACCAAAGAAGUCGCCGUAAAUCGAAUAAUGCCCCAAAAUCGGCACCUCGUGUUGCCUUCGAGGGUCUCCCAGACUCCCUCUAGGCACUCCAUCUCUACUAAUUCAUGGAUUAGCUGCGCCGCCAUCACGAUCUACAAGGAAGAAAAGAAAGGGGUAGACUCUUUCACAAGAAUCUAACUAUGCCGCAACACAAUUCGUCUCAUAGCCACUACAUGCAAGUAAAAGGGGUAUCUUAAGGCUUUUCAUCUCUGGUAGUCGAUUACACAGCCUUGGUAAUCGACUACCAGAGGCCAAACUCGAAUCACACAGCUUUAGGACAGGAAACCUGAAAAAGGAACUGUGUAAUCGAUUACACAUACUUGGUAAUCGAUUACCAGUGACCCAUUCCUCUGUGUAAUUGAUUACACAAACUGGUAAUCGAUUACCAGAGGCCUCCACAGUGCUCCAGUUCCCUUUUGAAGCCUGGUAAUCGAUUACAUCCCCUGGUAAUCGAUUACCAGAAGCUCCCCUAGCUUCCUGACCUCGUUUUCAAGCCUGGUAAUCGAUUACACCCCUUGGUAAUCGAUUACAAGAGACCAUCUUAGCCUCCUGUCUUCAUUUUUAAGCCUUGUAAUCGAUUACCCACCCUUGGUAAUCGAUUACCAGAGGCCAUAACCCACAUAUCAAUCAAAGUUCACAGCUGGCCAGCCACCACAAGCCUCCUUACUUUGUGGUCUUUGUUCCUUUUAUCUGUUGACUGCCAGGAGCUCGCCUGUUUAGGUACAUCACAGGUUCUCACUGACUGACUAUGCCCGGGUUGGGUCGGGAUUAGUCAAGCUUGGUUUUGGGCAAUAGCACCCCACCUGAUGUCCCCAAGGUCUCCUGACCCCCGCGACAUAUCUCCAGGUACCACUAUGUGGUCAACGAAUAAAAGCAGGAAGUUUCACCCUUCUAUACUUCCUCGUCUCAAGCUUGUAGGAUUAUGGGGUACCCAUCACAUGUGGUACUAGGUGGCGGUCGGGCGAUGGUGCACAACAAGUUUUCCACAUCCACAAAUUGUGCAUAAACCCACCAUCCCCUAUUGCCCACCUCCAACUGAGCUCACGUACUCCCACGUAGCCCAUAUCCUCGUUUCUCUCAACACCGGGUCCCCAUCAAUCCUCUCAAGCUUCCCCAACAUCCAAGUAAAACAACAUUCAAACAACACAAACUAUCACAGCCAAGAAAACAGAGCAAAGGCAGAAAACUCUGCCAAAACACCAACCAAAAUCACAGCUUUUCUCACUUAAAGACCCCAGUAACAAUUCCUUUGUUCCAAUUCGUUAACCGUUGGAUCGACUCCAAAAUUUUACUGGAAGUCUCUAGUACAUAAGCCUACAUUUUGACCGUUGGGAUCUACUAGCAAACAUCCAGAACUCAUUCUGCACUGCUCUUUCCACAACCAGCAAAUGCAUAGCAUUUUUCUGCACUUGUGCAAAAUUCUGCUGCACAAUUUCACAGCAAAAUUCUGCACAAAGUGCAGAUUUCGAAAAUCACACUUUCCCUCAUCCAAUCUUGCCCAAAUCAAAUCCUACAAGUCCCAAAUCAUGUAUCAAUCAUGUCUAAACCACAGUCAAGCUUCAAAACACAGCAACACAAAAUCUAGGUGUCCAAAACCCCUCAAUUCAAUGGGUUUUCUAGGUUUGAAAAGUGAAAUUGAGAAUGAGGUAAAUUUGAAGCAAACUCUCACCUCACACAAGUCUAUAACAUCAAUUUAAACUUGUCCAAACUGAAUUUACACCUAAAAUUUCACCGAAUCAAAAUUUGACUCCUCAACACCCAAAUUUACCCUAGAAAUGGCUCUUUGUUCACUUUGGUCAUUUGUUUUUCUCUCUAGCUCAGCCUAACCUUUCUCAUAAAUCCUAAAUGACAUUUCAAAUUAGGAUUAACUCAUUUUAACCUUCAUUUACCACAGAAUCCAGAUUUAACCUUCUAACUCUCAAAGCCUCACUCUUUUGCCACUCACAACACCACAUUCUCACUUUCUAACCCUAGGUUAACUCUACCCUUCAUCUCUAACAGUUUUUCAUAAGCAAUUUCAGCACAUAAACAUCACAAGCAUCAUCAUAAAAACCCUAAAACUGAAUGGGUAAGCUUAACUCAUCCAAACAUGGCAAGUUCAACAUGCUUUCCACAAAUUCCUUCACAAAUAAUCAUCAUAAAGCAGAAACCUAGCAAGACUACCCAUCAUAUCUCCCAAAACCCCAUACCCACGAAAAUCAAAGGAGAAAGAAGUCCACCCAAACCUGAAAUUUCGAAGUCCCACACGUAGAGAUGCGCUUCACGACUCCGAAAAUGCCCUCCUUUCACGAUUUGGGGCAAAAAUGAUGGCCAAAGGUUGGAGCUUUGUUUGGAGCUUCAAUGGAGAAUGAAGGAGGAAAGAAUGGCAACGUGAGGGAGAGAGGAAAAGGCUUCUGAAAAUGUGGGGCUGAGUGAGGAGAGAGAGAGUUGCUUUUUAAUUUUAAAAAGGCUUUUUCCUCAUUUCUUAUUAUUUUAUUAUAAACUAUGCCACAUGUCUCCAUUGGAGUGGAGCAAAAAGGGCCCACUUUCCCUUUUGAUUGUGACCCAUACUCAGCCACAAAAAUGAGAAAAAUCUGACCUUUGAAAUGCUAAAAUCCUGCCUCGGUUUGCGUGCCAUUUCUCUGGUUCCAGUUCCUCGCGUUUCUCUGCGUCCGUCGGGGCCAGUUUUCGAAAGUAAGCAAUAUAUAUAUCAAAACGCUCAGAAUAAAACCCCGAGCGUGGUUCAGAGGUUGGUUUCAUUAAAUUUUAAGUCGCACGCAAAAUGAUGAUUUUUAACUAAUUAAUUAAGAAUUAACCCAUAACCUCCCAGUUAUGGAUUUCUCUUCCUUAAUUAGCCUAGCCCGCAUAUCUUGCCCCCACUAUUCCUACUUCUAUCAAGAACAUAUAUGCAUAUACACUGAAUAAUACUUAUAUAUAUAUAUAUAUAUAUAAUCAUUCAAAAUACAUCGUUUCCAAAAAUUCCGGGUAGAAAUUUCCAGGAUGUCACAAUACUCCCACCCUUUUAGGAAUUUCGUCCCCGAAAUUAACUACUCUAUGAACAAACUUGGGUACAAUUCUCUCAUCCUAUCCUCCAACUCCCAUGUAGAAUCACCCUCAUCGGUUCCCCACUGCACCUUCACCAACGCGAUCUCCUUUCCUCUCAACGACUUCAUUCUUUGGUCAGUGAUCUUCUGAGGUUGUGCUUUAUAGGUGAGGUUAUCCUUCACCUGUACCUCGUCCACUACAAGUAUAUGUGAUGGAUCCGGGUUGUACCGCCUCAGUUGAGAGACAUGAAACACAGGAUGCAAAUUCGAUAAACUCGGAGGUAAGGCGAUAUGAUAAGCUACAGGCCCAACCUUCUUCAAAAUCUGAUACGGACCCAGGUACUUGGGCGUCAACUUCCUAGAUUUGAGAGCUCUUCCAACCCCGGUUACAGGAGAAACCUUCAAAAACACAUGUUCCCCUUCCUGAAAAUCUAGUGGCUUCCUCCUUCUACAAUAAUAACUCUUCUGCCUAUCCUGAGAUGCUUUUAUCUUCUCUCGAAUCAAUUUCACUUGUUCGUUAAUCUGUUGUAGCAUUUCAGGUCCAAGAAGUAUUGCUUCUCCAUCAUCGUACCAACAAAUAGGAGUUUUGCACUUUCGUCCAUAUAAAGCUUCAAAAGGAGCCAUACCAAUACUGGCUUGGUAGCUAUUGUUGUAAGUAAACUCAAUCAAUGGCAAACAAUCCAUCCAGCUACCUUGUUGCUCUAUAAUACACGCCCGAAGUAGAUCUUCUAGAGUCUGAAUGGUUCGUUCAGUCUGACCAUCUGUUUGAGGAUGAUAAGCUGAACUAAGCUUUAGCUUUGUCCCCAAGGCUUCAUGUAGACUUGUCCAAAAUCGCGAAGUGAACCUCGGAUCCCUAUCUAAUACAAUACUAGAAGGAAUUCCAUGCAACCUUACUACUCCCUUGAUGUACAACUCCACUAGCUUCUACAUUCUAUACUUCAUAUUCACCGGAAUAAAAUGAGCAGAUUUGGUGAGUCGAUCUACUAUGACCCACACAACAUCAUGUCCACGACUAGUCUUGGGUAAACUAGAUACAAAAUCCAUAGAUAUGCUCUCCCAUUUCCAUUCCGGAAUUUCCAAUGGCUUCAAUUCUCCUGAUGGUCGCUGGUGCUCAGCCUUAGCCUUUUGACAUGUCAAACAUCUUGCUACAUAUUCAGCUACAUCUUUCUUCAUGCCAUGCCACCAAAAACUUCUCUUCAAAUCUUGGUACAUCUUAGUCAUUCCUGGGUGGAAACUAAGACGACUUUUAUGCGCUUCUUCCAAGAUCUUAACAUUCAAAUCAUCUAAAGAUGGCACACAUAUCCUCCCCUUGAAUCUAAUUAACCCGGUUGUGUCCUUCUCAAACUCCACAUCCUUAUCCCCCAUUACACUAUUACCUUGCCUUGCAAAAGCAGGUCAUCCUCUUGAGCCUUGCGUAUGUGAUCUACGAAUUCAUUGGUGAUCUGUAAUGCUCCCACAAAUAAGCUCUUGGGUCGCAUCUCGAUUGCUAGAUUCAGAUCUCGGAACUCCUCUAUCAAUCUCUGCUCCAAACUCAUCAUAGUCGAAACAUGUAAGGACUUUCGGCUUAGCGCAUCGGCUACUACAUUAGCCUUUCCCGGAUGGUAAGAAAGACCAAAAUCAUAAUCCUUGAGGAACUCCAUCCAUCUUCGUUGUCUCAUAUUGAGUUCCUUCUGAUCGAACAAGUAUUUGAGACUCUUGUGAUCACUGAAAACUUCAAAACGAGUACCGUACAAAUAAUGCCUCCAAAUCUUUAAAGCAAAGACCACCGCUGCUAGUUCCAAGUCAUGGGUUGGGUAGUUAACUUCAUGAGGACGUAAUUGACGUGAAGCAUAAGCCACUACUCUUCCCUCUUGCAUCAACACACACCCCAGGCCGUGCCCGCUUGCGUCGCAAUACACUUCAAAUGGUCGCUUAGGGUCGGGUAAAAUUAACACCGGAGUUGUCGUCAACCGCCUCUUCAACUCUUGGAAACUUUGCUCACACUUCUCAUUCCAGACAAACUUCUCAUUCUUACGAGUCAACUUAGUUAGGGGCAAUGCCAAUUUGGAAAAUCCCUCAAUGAACUUUCUAUAAUAGCCAGCCAACCCCAAGAAGCUUCGAACCUCCGUUGGAGUUGUCGGUUGUUGCCACUCCAUAACCGACUCCACCUUGUUCGAAUCCACCGCAACCCCGUCCUUAGAAAUCACGUGCCCCAAGAACUGCACUUUCUCCAACCAAAAGUCACAUUUCGACAAUUUGGCGAACAACUUCCUAUCCCUCAGGAUAUGCAACACAAUCCUCAAGUGCUUCUCAUGCUCCUCCUUAUUCCUUGAAUACACUAGGAUAUCAUCAAUGAACACAACCACGAACUGAUCCAAGUAAUCAUGGAAUAUACGGUUCAUAUAAUCCAUGAAAAUAGCCGGAGCAUUAGUCACUCCAAAUGGCAUGACUAAAUACUCGUAGUGCCCAUACCGAGUCCGAAACGCAGUCUUUGGGAUAUCUUCCUUCUUAACUCGAAUUUGAUGAUACCCAGAUCACAGAUCGAUCUUCGAAAAUACCGUCGCUCCCCUCAAUUGGUCAAUCAAAUCAUCUAUCCUUGGUAGGGGAUAUUUGUUCUUGAUAGUGACCUUGUUUAACUGCCGGUAGUGUAUGCACAUUCUCAUACUUCCAUCCUUCUUUUUAACCAACAAGACCGGCGCUCCCCACGGUGAUGCGCUUGGACGAACAAAUUGUUUGCUCAAAAGAUCCUGCACUUGUGCCUUCACCUCUGCUAGUUCUACCGGAGACAUUCUAUAAGGCGCGAUCGACACUGGAUUCGCCCCAGGCACCAAGUCAAUAAUGAAUUCCACUUCUCUCUCAGGUGGUAAUUCACAAAUAUCAUCAGGAAAAACUUCUGGAAAUUCUGCCACCACCGGUAUACUACUAACUUCAGCGUCCUCUUCCACAUACAUAGAGAACAACACCAUGUAAGUUCGAACAUCCCUCGUUCCUUCGUUGGCCGCAUCCCCUUUCAAAGAUUUACUUGGAACUACAUCUCCACCAAACACUAGCAUCUUCUCCUUGCAGUCUAGAAAGAUAUGGUUAGUAGAUAACCAAUCCAUCCCCAAGAUCACAUCUAGAUGAGCUAAAGGUAGGCAAAUCAAAUCCGCCAUAAAAGAUCGACCCUCAACAAUUAUAGGACACUUCAAACACACCCGAGAGGUGGUUACAGGCUCGCUCGUCGGAGUAGACACCACCAUAUCAUAUGGUAACUCCGUCGCACAUAACCCCAACCUCUCCACACAUGCAUGAGAUAUGAAAGAAUGCGUGGCACCUGAAUCAUAAAGUACAUCUAGUAGUUUAUCAGCAAUCAAACACUUACCCCGUAUCAAAUCGUUGGAGGCAACUGCUUCUGAACCACUCAUAGCAAAUACCCGAGAGGGUACUUUUGGUCUUCCACCACUAGUGUUGUUGUUGCUAACAUUACCGCUCCUUGUGGAAUUUGUGGGUCCACGAUUGACAGUGUUGGAAUUGGCCGUCACUGUCGGUCUCCCGGUCACCCUACAUUCUCUAGCAUAAUGGCCCACCUUGCCACACACAUAACAACGGUUCUCCUGUGUCUGCUGGAGCUGUGGGAAAUUCCUCUUAAGAUUUGGCCCCCCACACUGAAAGCACUAUACCCCAGUCCCCCUUGACUGGCUCAUGUUGGAGGUAGCCAUAGGUUGCUUCCCCUUGUUGCCAACAUACGGCUUCAUCCUCUUAUUACUAUUCCCCCUAAAAGGAUGGUUUCUCUGAGGUCCUCCAACGCCUCUAGCUUGCCUCUCCUUCAUCUUGUCCUCAAAAAUCCUGCACUUUGUUACCAGCUGGUUAAAAUCCGUGAUCUGCAUGUAGCUAACCGCCUGUUGGAUCUCCAACCGAAGCCCAUUCUCAAACUGAGCACAUAAAUCUUCCUCAUUCCGAGCAUCUUGGUAUUGAGGCCAAUACUGCAGAAGCUCAUUAAACUUAGUCGUGUACUCCCCAACAGACAUGUUUCCUUGCUUCAAAUCUAGAAAUUCCCUCGCCUUCCGCUUCCUAAGAUCUCGCGGGAAGUAAUUCUCCAGGAAUUUGUCCUUGAAGGCAUUCCAAGGAAUCACGCCUCCAGGUGCAACAAAUGAAGGCUUCACGAACUUCCACCAAUUCUCGGCCUCUCCUUGGAGCAUAAAUGUUGCAUAAAGGACCUUAUGCUCCUCAAGGCAACCCAUCGCCUCGAAAAUCUUCUCCGUCUCAACUAACCACAACCGAGCACCUUCCGGAUCAUAGUCUCCACUGAACUUUGGCGGGUGGUUCUUACGGAAAGCCAUGAGUCCCCGAUACUCCGCCGGCUCCACAUCACAUUCCUGCACUAGAGUUUCCAGCACAGCUGUGAUGCAGUCAAGGACAUCACGGUUCUGAUCCCUACCACGUCCUGCCAUACUUAACCUGUAGGGAAGCUAUUAGUACCCAAGAAAUCCUAAUGAGAGAGUGUACCACACAGGCUAUGACAGUUAUAACAACAUCCUUCUCUUUAUGCAUACUUAUACACACAACAACCCUAUGAAUCAGUCACACAUUCAUGCUCAAGACAAAAAGGCAGAAAUACACACCAUGUGUGACUUAACGUCACUCCCCGAAACCUACUCCCAAGUUUCAGAGAUACACAACAUUCACACAGCAAGACCAUAACAGGUUCACUAGGAUCCAACUUUUGCUCUGAUACCACCAAUUGUGGCAUCCCCAAAAUAAUGACUGGUUUAAUCGUAAUGAUUUAAUUAACAAAAACCAUGGUAAAUUUUUUUUUCUUCUUUUUCUUUUUCAUUUCUUUCUCUUUUCACCAUAACUAGGUUUAGAAGGAAAAUCCUCACUAUAGAGUCCUGAAUGGCCAGUUCACAACUCUAUUCGGAGUCAUUUCUUUCUUACCACUCGUGAUCUCUAAACUAUUUUGCUGUUUCAAAAGGAAGAGUAUACCAGCCAUUACUUUAGGUCAUCACGUGAAAAUAAAAGAAUAAAAUACGGUCGACAAACUCUUUUACAAAUAAAUUCGCCAAUGCUUUCUUUUCAAAUAACAAGAUUGAUCAUAAAUGCAUUCAUCAUUUAAAGCUGUCCAAAAUAUGGGAGUUUUACAAAAUACAUAGUGUCAUCCAGAGCAAAGGUGUCCACAGUGAUGGCUUCAGCCACAUGUAUACAAUCACCAAAUUCCUAUACAACAGGUCUACCCAUACAAAAACAAAAGAGUAAACCUAACAGUAAGUCCUAGAUACACCCACCCCCAAAAAGUAUAUAAAACUAGUCCAUGGAACUGUCCACUAUGAUGAAGAGCCUCCACUGGUCGCCAUCUCUCUCGGGCCACUAUCCUCCGUAGAGUCUGCCUUAGAUGCCGACAUGACUUCCUCGGGAGAAUCCACCUCAGGAAGUGGGUCCUCAUCGCCCUCUAGAAAAUCAAGAGCAUCCACAGCAGGCUCAGGAGGUAGCUCCUCGGGAUCCUCCUCAGGGUCUUCCUCGGAUGACGUCACCUCGAUCACUUGGACUGGCUCCACUAGACGGUAUGGUGUAGGCGUGGGUAGUAUCCACUCCACAGUGCGCAGAAGCGUGCGCACGGGUUCAUCUGGAUGCACCAAAGAAGUCAUCGUAAAUCGAAUAAUGCCCCGAAAUCGACACCUUGUGUUGCCUUCGAGGGUCUCCCAGACUCCCUCUAGGCACUCCAUCUCUACUCGAUCAUGGAUUAGCUGCGCCGCCAUCACGAUCUACAAGGAAGAAAAGAAAGGGGUAGACUCUUUCACAAAAAUCUAACUAUGCCGCAACAUAAUUCGUCUCAUAGCCACUACAUGCAAGUAAAAGGGGUAUCUUAAGGCUUUUCAUCUCUGGUAAUCGAUUACACAGCCUUGGUAAUCGAUUAUCAGAGGCCAAACUCGAAUCACACAGCUUCAGGACAGGAAAACCUGAAAAAGGCACUGUGUAAUCGAUUACACAUACCUGGUAAUCGAUUACCAGUGACCCAUUCCUCUGUGUAAUUGAUUACAAAAACUGGUAAUCGAUUACCAGAGGCCUCCAUAGUGCUCCAGUUCCCUUUUGAAGCCUGGUAAUCGAUUACAUCCCCUGGUAAUCGAUUACCAGAAGCUCCCCUAGCUUCCUGACCUCGUUUUCAAGCCUGGUAAUCGAUUAAACCCCUUGGUAAUCGAUUACCAGAGACCAUCUUAGCCUCCUGUCUUCAUUUUUAAGCCUUGUAAUCGAUUACCCACCCUUGGUAAUCGAUUACCAGAGGCCAUAACCCACAUAUCAAUCAAAGUUCACAGCUGGCCAGCCACCACAAGCCUCCUUGCUUUGUGGUCUUUGUUCCUUUUAUCUGUUGACUGCCAGGAGCUCGCCUGUUUAGGUACAUCACAGGUUCUCACUGACUGACUAUGCCCGGAUUGGGUCGGGAUUGGUCAAGCUUGGUUUUGGGCAAUAGCACCCCACCUGACGUCCCCAAGGUCUCCUGACCCCCGCGACAUAUCUCCAGGUACCACUAUGUGGUCAACGAAUAAAAGCAGGAAGUUUCACCCUUCUAUACUUCCUCGUCUCAAGCUUGUAGGAUUAUGGGGUACCCAUCACAUGUGGUACUAGGUGGCGGUCGGGCGAUGGUGCACAACAAGUUUUCCACAUCCACAAAUCGCGCAUAAACCCACCAUCCCCUGUUGCCCACCUCCAACUGAGCUCACGUACUCCCACGUAGCCCAUAUCCUCGUUUCUCUCAACACCGGGUCCCCAUCAAUCCUCUCAAGCUUCCCCAGCAUCCAAGUAAAACAACAUUCAAACAGCACAAACUAUCACAGCCAAGAAAACAGAGCAAAGGCAGAAAACUCUGCCAAAACACCUACCAAAAUCACAACUUUUCUCACUUAAAGACCCCAGUAACAAUUCCUUUGUUCCAAUUCGUUAACCGUUAGAUCGACUCCAAAAUUUUACUGGAAGUCUCUAGUACAUAAGCCUACAUUUUGACCGUUGGGAUCUACUAGCAAACAUCCAGAACUCAUUCAGCACGGCUCUUUCCACAACCAGCAAAUGCAUAGCAUUUUUCUGCACUUGUGCAAAAUUCUGAUGCACAAUUUCACAACAAAAUUCUGCACAAAGUGCAGAUUUCGAAAAUCACACUUUCCCUCAUCCAAUCUUGCCCAAAUCAAAUCCUACAAGUCCCAAAUCAUGUAUCAAUCAUGUCUAAACCAUAGUCAAGCUUCAAAACACAGCAACACAAAAUCUAGGUGUCCAAAACCCCUCAAUUCAAUGGGUUUUCUAGGUUUGAAAAGUGAAAUUGAGAAUGAGGUAAAUUUGAAGCAAACUCUCACCUCACACAAGUCCAUAACAUCAAUUUAAACUUGUCCAAACUGGAUUUACACCUAAAAUUUCACCGAAUCAAAAUUUGACUCCUCAACACCCAAAUUUACCCUAGAAAUGGCUCUUUGUUCACUUUGGUCAUUUGUUUUUCUCUCUAGCUCAGCCUAACCUUUCUCAUAAAUCCUAAAUGACAUUUCAAACUAGGAUUAACUCAUUUUAACCUUCAUUUACCACAGAAUCCAGAUUUAACCUUCUAACUCUCAAAGCCUCACUCUUUUUCCACUCACAACACCACAUUCUCACUUUCUAACCCUAGGUUAACUCUACCCUUCAUCUCUAACAGUUUUCCAUAAGGAAUUUCAGCACAUAAACAUCACAAGCAUCAUCAUAAAAACCCUAAAACUGAAUGGGUAAGCUUAACUCAUCCAAACAUGGCAAGUUCAACAUGCUUUCCACAAAUUCCUUCACAAAUAAUCAUCAUAAAGCAGAAACCUAGCAAGACUACCCAUCAUAUCUCCCAAAACCCCAUACCCACGAAAAUCAAAGGAGAAAGAAGUCCACCCAAACCUGAAAUUUCGAAGUCCCACACGUAGAGACGCGCUUCACGACUCCGAAAAUGCCCUCCUUUCACGAUUUGGGGCAGAAAUGAUGGCCAAAGGUUGGAGCUUUGUUUGGAGCUUCAAUGGAGAAUGAAGGAGGAAAGAAUGGCAACGUGAGGGAGAGAGGAAAAGGCUUCUGAAAAUGUGGGGCUGAG